GUUUUCGCUUUCGCUUUUGCUUUUAAUAGCUUCUCCGAAGAGAAACAAAGCGGCGGCCACGACGGUCGACUGUCACGACGGGUGAUGGGCUCGGAGGUGAGGGGAGAGGAGAGCGGCCGCCUGAACCCCGGGCCCACAAGAGAGGUGGCAGCAUGCCCCGGGCCUCCUUGUGAUGUCAGGAGGCUGGACAGCCAAGAAAGAAGAAAAUGGACUCCCUCCUUCUGAAGACUUGCCUGGAAGCCAGCCCCGAGUGCUGGAGUGCACAGCGCCUCCAACGAGAACAGCUAAGAGUUGUGUUUGCCAAUUGAAGACCCCAGCUGAAGAUGAAGAGGAGUAGAGUCACCCUGGGGUGCUUUCUGCCCCAGCUCCCCCCUUGCUCCGGCAGCACUGGCCUGCAGCUCUUAGGUUCCUGGCCACAGUUGGCUUCCUACUGUGGAGGUCCCUACUGGCUGCUCACUUUCCCUUUAUAUUUCUCUCAAUGCUGCCUCCCCUCCCCUCCCCUCUUCAUAAACAGGCUCUUCCUUAAACUCUUCUGUCCCUGGGUAGCGGGAAGGGGUGGACCUGCUUCCUGCUGAGACUGACCCCGACAAGAAACAUUUUCUGCUAUGUCUCUAACAUAGAAUAAACAGUUCUCCAGCUGAGCCUUAGGAGAUGCUCAUAGGAGCCCAGGCUUUGAGCUUUAUAACACCCAAGCCACACAGUUGCUGCGACCGCUCUUCCCCUCCUUGCUUUUAACUAUACUACAAACAAUGGAGGGGACCUGGUUAGUGAUAUCUCACCCAAGAAUUUGGAGGGAUAAAUAAAUAAACAGGUAACUGAAGAGAAA
rnacentral:lncRNA from 1 species